GUCCACGCCGUAAACGAUGUCAACUAGCCGUUAGAACCUUUAAGGUUUUAGUGGUGCAGCUAACGCGAUAAGUUGACCGCCUGGGGAGUACGGUCGCAAGAUUAAAACUCAAAUGAAUUGACGGGGGCCCGCACAAGCGGUGGAGUAUGUGGUUUAAUUCGAUGCAACGCGAAGAACCUUACAUGGCCUUGACAUGUCCGGAACUUAGCAGAGAUGCUUUGGUGCCUUCGGGAACCGGAACACAGGUGCUGCAUGGCUGUCGU
rnacentral:rRNA from 1 species